UAUGGCCACAUCACAUUGAAAGACCAGUUCCCAUAUGAUCACUGAAGUUAAGCAACAUUGAUCCUGGUCAUCACUUAGAUGGGUGACCAUUUGGGAAUACUAGAUGCUGUAAG